GACAGAGGAGCCAAGCGUUGUCCGGAUUGACUGGGCGUAAAGCGCACGCAGGCGGCUCGGCGCGUGGGGUGUGAAAGCUGGCGGCUUAACUGCCAGAUGCCAUCCCAUACGGCUGGGCUCGAGCCCUGCAGAGGUCCAUGGAAUUGCCGGUGUAGUGGUGAAAUGCGUAGAGAUCGGCAGGAACACCCAGGGGAACCAGUGGACUGGGCAGGAGCUGACGCUCAGGUGCGAA
rnacentral:rRNA from 1 species